rnacentral:lncRNA from 1 species
UUCUCCAAUACUAACAGAGUUUAAUUUUGCAAUGUAUUGUGUGCUAUGGCCAUUACAUCAUAGCAUAAUCCUAACAGGUAGUUUAUUUUGUAUAAUUUAUCCAUUGUAUUUUGCAAACAUGAUCAAUAUCAACGUGAAUUAUUCUCAAGCAAUCAGGUUAUAAGCUUAUCUGGUAGCCAACAUAUAGAUGCAUGUCAAGAAGACACUCAACUC